ACCGCCCUUUUUCACACUCGACAAAAUGGCGAAUGAGGCUGUUACUCAAGUCCAAGAGAUCAGGGACAUUACUAAAAUUGAGAGAAUUGGUGCUCAUUCUCACAUACGUGGGCUGGGACUAGACGAUGCAUUGGAACCAAGACCGAUAUCGCAAGGUAUGGUAGGACAGCAGGCAGCAAGGAGAGCAGCUGGAGUUAUAUUGGAGAUGGUAAAG